CAGGACGAACGCUGGCGGCGUGCCUAACACAUGCAAGUCGAGCGAUGAAGUUCCUCGGAACGGAUUAGCGGCGGACGGGUGAGUAACACGUGGGUAACCUGCCUUGUAGAGGGGGAUAGCCUUCCGAAAGGAAGAUUAAUACCGCAUAACAUCUUUUUAUCGCAUGGUAGAAAGAUCAAAGGAGCAAUCCGCUACAAGAUGGACCCGCGGCGCAUUAGCUAGUUGGUGAGGUAACGGCUCACCAAGGCGACGAUGCGUAGCCGACCUGAGAGGGUGAUCGGCCACAUUGGAACUGAGACACGGUCCAGACUCCUACGGGAGGCAGCAGUGGGGAAUAUUGCGCAAUGGGGGAAACCCUGACGCAGCAACGCCGCGUGAAUGAAGAAGGCCUUAGGGUUGUAAAGUUCUGUUUACGGGGACGAUAAUGACGGUACCCGUGGAGGAAGCCACGGCUAACUACGUGCCAGCAGCUGC
rnacentral:rRNA from 1 species